rnacentral:rRNA from 1 species
AAUGAACGCUGGCGGCGUGCUUUACACAUGCAAGUUGAGCGAGGCCACCCGCAAGGGUGAGUCGAGCGGCGAACGGGUGAGUAACGCGUGGAUAACCUGCCCUGAGGUGGGGAAUAACCCGGGGAAACUCGGGCUAAUACCGCAUGAUACCAAGCGGUCAAAGGGGGCUCGCAAGAGCUCCUGCCACAGGAGGGGUCCGCGUUCGAUUAGCUAGUUGGUAGGGUAAUGGCCUACCAAGGCGACGAUCGAUAGCCGGCCUGAGAGGGUGAUCGGCCACACUGGAACUGAGACACGGUCCAGACUCCUACGGGAGGCAGCAGUGGGGAAUUUUGCGCAAUGGGCUAACGCCUGACGCAGCAACGCCGCGUGGAGGAUGAAGGUCUUUGGAUUGUAAACUCCUGUCAGCAGGGAAAAAGGGA